rnacentral:rRNA from 1 species
GAUGAACGCUAGCGAUAGGCUUAACACAUGCAAGUCGAGGGGCAGCACAAGGUAGCUUGCUAUCUGGGUGGCGACCGGCGCACGAGUGCGUAACGCGUAUGCAACUUGCCCUAUACAGGAGGAUAACCCGUCGAAAGACGGACUAAUACUGCGUAUGCUCACAACUUGGCAUCAAGUGGUGAGGAAAGAGAUUCGGUAUAGGAUAGGCAUGCGUCCCAUUAGCUUGUUGGUGAGGUAACGGCUCACCAAGGCAACGAUGGGUAGGGGAACUGAGAGGUUUAUCCCCCACACUGGUACUGAGACACGGACCAGACUCCUACGGGAGGCAGCAGUGAGGAAUAUUGGUCAAUGGGCGCGAGCCUGAACCAGCCAAGUCGCGUGAAGGAUGACUGUCUUAUGGAUUGUAAACUUCUUUUAUACGGGAAUAACAAGAGUCACGGGUGACUCCCUGCAUGUACCGUAUGAAUAAGCAUCGGCUAACUCCGUG